rnacentral:rRNA from 1 species
CGGUUGGAAUGCGCAGAUAUCAGAAGGACCACCGAUGCGAAGGCAGAUNUNUGGNCGGUAACUUGACGUUGAGGAGCGAAAGCGUGGGGAGCGAACAGGAUUAGAUACCCUGGUAGUCCACGCCGUAAACGUUGGGCGCUAGAUGUAGGACCUUUCCACGGUUUCUGUGUCGUAGCUAACGCAUUAAGCGCCCCGCCUGGGGAGUACGGCCGCAAGGCUAAAACUCAAAGGAAUUGACGGGGGCCCGCACAAGCGGCGGAGCAUGCGGAUUAAUUCGAUGCAACGCGAAGAACCUUACCAAGGCUUGACAUACACCGGAAACGGCCAGAGAUGGUCGCCCCCUUGUGGUCGGUGUACAGGUGGUGCAUGGUUGUCGUCAGCUCGUGUCGUGAGAUGUUGGGUUAAGUCCCGCAACGAGCGCAACCCUCGUUCUAUGUUGCCAGCGCGUUAUGGCGGGGACUCAUAGGAGACUGCCGGGGUCAACUCGGAGGAAGGUGGGGAUGACGUCAAAUCAUCAUGCCCCUUAUGUCUUGGGCUUCACGCAUGCUACAAUGGCCGGUACAAAGGGCUGCGAUACCGUAAGGUGGAGCGAAUCCCAAAAAGCCGGUCUCAGUUCGGAUUGAGGUCUGCAACUCGACCUCAUGAAGUCGGAGUCGCUAGUAAUCGCAGAUCAGCGGCGU